UGGGGAAUUUUGGACAAUGGGGGAAACCCUGAUCCAGCCAUCCCGCGUGUGCGAUGAAGGCCUUCGGGUUGUAAAGCACUUUUGGCAGGAAAGAAACGUCAUGGGUUAAUACCCCGUGAAACUGACGGUACCUGCAGAAUAAGCACCGGCUAACUACGUGCCAGCAGCCGCGGUAAUACGUAGGGUGCAAGCGUUAAUCGGAAUUACUGGGCGUAAAGCGUGCGCAGGCGGUUCGGAAAGAAAGAUGUGAAAUCCCAGAGCUCAACUUUGGAACUGCAUUUUUAACUACCAGGCUAGAGUGUGUCAGAGGGAGGUGGAAUUCCGCGUGUAGCAGUGAAAUGCGUAGAUAUGCGGAGGAACACCGAUGGCGAAGGCAGCCUCCUGGGAUAACACUGACGCUCAUGCACGAAAGCGUGGGGAGCGAACAGG
rnacentral:rRNA from 1 species